rnacentral:rRNA from 1 species
AGAAUGAACGCUGGUGGCAGACCUAACACAUGCAAGUCGAACGAUUUAUAGAAACUUUCGGUUUUUGUAAAGAGUGGCAAAACGGGGUGAGUAAUGCAUGGGAAUCUACCUAGAAGUUUGGGAUAACUAUUAGAAAUGUAGCUAAUACCGGAUACACCCUGAGGGGGAAAUUGACUUUAUGUCUUCGCUUUUAGAUGAGCCCAUGUUAAAUUAGUUAGUUGGUGGGGUAAUGGCCUACCAAGACGAUGAUUUAUAGCUGGUCUUAGAGGAUGAUCAGCCACACUGGAAUUGAGAUACGGUUCAGACUCCUACGGGAGCAGCAGUGGGGGAAUAGUUGGACAAUGGCGCAAGCCUGAUCCAGUCAUGCCACGUGAGUGAUGAAGUCUUA